rnacentral:rRNA from 1 species
GAUGAACGCUAGCGGGAGGCUUAACACAUGCAAGUCGAGGGGCAGCAUAGGGUAGCAAUACUCUGAUGGCGACCGGCAAACGGGUGAGUAACGCGUAUGCAACCUACCCUGUACAGGGGGAUAACCCGGAGAAAUUCGGACUAAUAUCCCGUAAUAAUAUCCGGAGGCAUCUUUGGAUAUUUAAAGUUCCGACGGUACGGGAUGGGCAUGCGUAACAUUAACUGGUUGGUAAGGUAACGGCUUACCAAGGCUAUGAUGUUUAGGGGUCCUGAGAGGGUGGUCCCCCACACUGGUACUGAGACACGGACCAGACUCCUACGGGAGGCAGCAGUGAGGAAUAUUGGUCAAUGGGCGCAAGCCUGAACCAGCCAUCCCGCGUGCAGGAAGACGGCCCUAUGGGUUGUAAACUGCUUUUCCAGGGAGAGAAACUUACGCACGUGUUGCGUGACUGACGGUACCCUGGGAAUAAGCAUCGGCUAACUCCGUGCCAGCAGCCGCCGGUAAUCA